AAGGAAUAUUGGACAAUGGACGCAAGUCUGAUCCAGCCAUGCCGCGUGAAGGAUGAAGGUCCUCUGGAUUGUAAACUUCUUUUAUAGGGGGCGAAAAAAGGGUUUUCUAACUCGUCUGACGGUACCCUAUGAAUAAGCACCGGCUAACUCCGUGCCAGCAGCCGCGGUAAUACGGAGGGUGCAAGCGUUAUCCGGAUUCACUGGGUUUAAAGGGUGCGUAGGCGGAUAUUUAAGUCAGUGGUGAAAUCUUGGGGCUUAACCCCGAAACUGCCAUUGAUACUAUAUGUCUUGAAUACUGUGGAGGUCAGCGGAAUAUGUCAUGUAGCGGUGAAAUGCUUAGAUAUGACAUAGAACACCGAUUGCGAAGGCAGCUGGCUACACAAGCAUUGACGCUGAGGCACGAAAGCGUGGGGAUCAAACAGGA
rnacentral:rRNA from 1 species